UACGUAGGGGGCAAGCGUUGUCCGGAUUUAUUGGGCGUAAAGAGCUCGUAGGCGGCUCACUAAGUCGGAUGUGAAAACUCCAGGCUCAACCUGGAGACGCCAUUCGAUACUGGUGUGGCUUGAGUUCGGUAGGGGAGCACGGAAUUCCUGGUGUAGCGGUGGAAUGCGCAGAUAUCAGGAAGAACACCCGUGGCGAAGGCGGCUCUCUGGGACGGUACUGACGCUGAGACGCGAAAGCGUGGGGAGCGAACAGG
rnacentral:rRNA from 1 species